rnacentral:rRNA from 1 species
AACUAUGUGCCAGCAGCCGCGGUAAUACAUAGGUCACGAGCGUUAUCCGGAAUUAUUGGGCGUAAAGAGUUCGUAGGUUGUUUGUUAAGUCUGGAGUUAAAGCCCGAAGCUCAACUUCGGUUCGCUUUAGAUACUGGCAAACUAGAAUUACAAAGAGGUUAGCGGAAUUCCUAGUGAAGCGGUGGAAUGCGUAGAUAUUAGGAAGAACACCAAUAGGCGAAGGCAGCUAACUGGUUGUCAAUUGACACUGAGGAACGAAAGCGUGGGGAGCAAACAGGAUUAGAUACCCUGGUAGUCCACGCCGUAAACGUUGAUCAUUAGUCGGUAGAAGAAUUUACUGACGCAGCUAACGCAUUAAAUGAUCCGCCUGAGUAGUAUGCUCGCAAGAGUGAAACUUAAAGGAAUUGACGGGGACCCGCACAAGCGGAGGAGCAUGUGGUUUAAUUUGAAGAUACGCGUAGAACCUUACCCACUCUUGACAUCCCUUGCAAUGCUAUAGAGAUAUAGCGGAGGUUAACAAGGUGACAGAUGGUGCAUGGUUGUCGUCAGCUCGUGUCGUGAGAUGUUAGGUUAAGUCCUGCAACGAGCGCAACCCUUGUCUUUAGUUACUAACGAGUAAUGUCGAGGACUCUAGAGAGACUGCCUGGGUAACCAGGAGGAAGGUGGGGACGACGUCAAAUCAUCAUGCCUCUUACGAGUGGGGCAACACACGUGCUACAAUGGUUGGUACAAAGAGAAGCAAUAUGGUGACAUGGAGCAAACCUCAAAAAACCAAUCUCAGUUCGGAUUGAAGUCUGCAACUCGACUUCAUGAAGUCGGAUUCGCUAGUAAUCGCAGAUCAGCUACGCUGCGGUGAAUACGUUCUCAGGUCUUGUACA